UACGUAGGGUGCAAGCGUUACUCGGAAUUACUGGGCGUAAAGCGUGCGCAGGCGGUUUUGUAAGUCUGUCGUGAAAUCCCCGGGCUCAACCUGGGAAUGGCGAUGGAGACUGCAAGGCUAGAAUCUGGCAGAGGGGGGUAGAAUUCCACGUGUAGCAGUGAAAUGCGUAGAGAUGUGGAGGAACACCGAUGGCGAAGGCAGCCCCCUGGGUCAAGAUUGACGCUCAUGCACGAAGGCGUGGGGAGCAAACAGG
rnacentral:rRNA from 1 species